rnacentral:rRNA from 1 species
UACGAAGGGAGCUAGCGUUGUUCGGAAUCACUGGGCGUAAAGCGCACGUAGGCGGAUGUGUCAGUCAGGGGUGAAGUCCCGGAGCUCAACUUCGGAACUGCCUUUGAUACAGCACGUCUUGAGUCCGAUAGAGGUGGGUGGAAUUCCUAGUGUAGAGGUGAAAUUCGUAGAUAUUAGGAAGAACACCGGUGGCGAAGGCGGCCCACUGGAUCGGUACUGACGCUGAGGUGCGAAAGCGUGGGAGCAAACAGG